GUAGGUGGCAAGCGUUGUCCGGAAUUAUUGGGCGUAAAGCGCGCGCAGGCGGGGUCCUUUAAGUCUGAUGUGAAAGCCCACGGGCUCAACCGUGGAGGGUCAUUGGAAACUGGGGGACUUGAGUACAGAAGAGGAAAGCGGAAUUCCAAGUGUAGCGGUGAGAUGCGUAGAGAUUUGGAGGAACACCAGUGGCGAAGGCGGCUUUCUGGUCUGUAACUGACGCUGAGGCGCGAAAGCGUGGGGAGCAAACAGGAUUAGAUACCCUGGUAGUCCACGCCGUAAACGAUGAGUGCUAAGUGUUAGGGGGUUUCCGCCCCUUAGUGCUGCAGCUAACGCAUUAAGCACUCCGCCUGGGGAGUACGGCCGCAAGGCUG
rnacentral:rRNA from 1 species